GCGCCGGUGGUGUAAGGCGAACUGCCCGGAAAGCAGAAGAUGCGGGUUCGAGUCCCGCCUGGCGCA
rnacentral:tRNA from 1 species